CUCUCUUUGUGGCUCCCUCCCCCCAGCCUUGCCUGCCCUCAGGGCUUAGCAUCGGUCUGGUAGCCAGAGCCUUGCCUAACAUGAAACUGGCACAAAUGAAAAGGCGGAUAAAUAAACGUCCAGGAAUCUUGUUUGUCAUAUUUAAUCCAUCACGUUUCCCAAACAGCCUGGUCAAAAAAUUCUGCAGCAGUGUUUACAUCAUCCUGAUUGAAAGCUACAUCCGUGCAUAUAAAUACCAUUCCUGGAUGUAGCUCCAGUUUCACACGGAGGCAGCUAUCAGCCUUGUCUGCCCUCACCACUGAAAGAAGAAAAAAAAAUGUUUGAAUUUCUUCAUUCCCCCAUUCCUGCCCAAUCCAGCACUCGCACAUUCAUUUUUUUUUCCCCUCCUCUUCCUUAAGUAUCCCAGUGAGCAUUGCCCAAUGCUGUGAUUUCUGGGUAUGCUCAGUGAGCAAUGGGCAAGUGGAAUUCAUUAGACCACGGGGAAAUGGUUAAUCAGUGCGCUAAUGAAAGUGGCACAACACAAGCAUUGAAACAUGCAACCUGGCAGGGCUUGGUGUCAUCACAUGCCAUACACCUGGCACUUGGCUGGGAGCAACAACCAUGUCCCUAGCUGGGAAAGAAAACCAGGAGCACAGGUCAAACCAAUGCAAAUGAAUGAGAGAUAUUUCCCACUUUAAUGACCAGGAGGCAAAACUGGAAGAGGAAAGAAGCAGUUCCACCAUUUGACCAAGGAGAGAGACAGUUGUUGAUCCUACAUCAAGACAAACAAUGGCAAAGUGAUAACGAUGAUGAAGCUCAGAAAGGAACACAGAGUCCCAAACCUCCCCAUGCCAUGAUCCACAAAACAUUUCCCAACAGAAUGAACAGAGAAGGGAAAAAUCAAAAAGGAAAAAGAUGGAAAGAAAAAGAAUUCCAACCUGCCUGGGAUAAGAUGGUACAUCUUGUCACAAACAGAGUGUUUAACUUACGGCUUCUUUUGUUAAAAGAAAACCAAUCAAAUCUGUCUGUUUCCAUUCCAACCUCCUUCCCUCCACUUCAGCUUAUUUUUCCUGUGGCCAAAAUUGUUCAUCGUGCUGGAUGCAAAUCAUCCCCUGCAAAUUGCAUUUUUCCAUGGUAAAUGUUUUCACCAGAGAAUGUCCCGCUAUGCUGCCUCCAGAGGUUUUCAUCCCAUUUGGACACACAUAAUGGCGUGAAACACUUUGCUCACUCAGCUCCAUUUGCAGAGUGAACCCAACGUUGCAAUGUACUGUUUGUACGUUAAUGCAUUGCAAUGACACUGGCACACUUAUUUGGUGGAAAUGGGCACAAUAUUUGAUUGCACUCUUGGCAGCACUGUCCAGAGGUUGGACUUUGACUUCUAGUCUGCCUGUCUCCAGUUUCUUUGCAAAGGCUUUGAAAAACUGGGCUGUGACCCAGCCAUCCCCUUAGGUUUGGGCUUGUUUCUGAGUUCUUAUAGUUGAAAACAUCCAGCUGCAAAAGGAAAUAGCACCUGCUUUAUUCAGCUUAGCAGCACAGACAUUUCCCAGGAGCCUCCUUGUGCCCCUUGGAAUAAAAAUAAGGUUGUCAGAUGAUGCACCACAGAUAAAUCAGCAUUGUGACUGCCAGAAAAUACCCACCUCUCUAUUUUUAUAGGUGUCAUUAGCAUCCCUGCUUCUGAAAUUAGGACCUUACAGAGACAUAGGACACUGCUUUCUCAAAUAACAGCAAACCAUAUAACUUUAUAAGAAGUUUUUAAUCCCAGUAAAAGAAGCGAGACCGUAAACCCAUUUUUACCCUUCCUCCUUCACCUCUUGCCUACUCAAAAGCAGGAGCUGCUUCUGGCCUCCAGAUGUCCAACCCACAAGCUCUUCCCUUUUGCUAUUUUUGCUGCACGCUUUGAUCUUUUGCAAAUGCUGCCUGGGGGGGAGUAGGGGCUGGGGCUGUUGAUGCUGCACCCUGGGCUGCUCCAUCCAUGCCCCAGCCAAGCUCCUCAUCUUCCUCUGCCCUUGCUGCAAAGGGAGAUCUCUCCUGGCCAACAACGUCCCUGUAAGGACUGAGAAUGUCUGACUAAUGCAAGAAAGAAUGGCUGGAUCCCAUUUUAUUUUUUGAGGGAGCUACCUUAGAGAUGGGAAAGUGAAGUACCCAUUGAAGUACCAACUGAAGUAAAGGGAUAUUCAGAGUAAGAAGUGACUUUUGUGAUGUUUCCAUAGGGCAAAGUAAAAUGUGAGACGAUAUUGAUGAAAAUGUGCAAAAUGCAAGAGAAGUGGUGUUUUCCUGCUGCCUCCCAGCUAGGUCUUCUGGGAUGGGCUGAAGUCACCCAGCACAGAGGUGAAGUGUUUGGAUGGGGAACAGGGCACCACUUUGAUGGAAGCUGAGUUACUUACGGAGGAAGGACAUGUUGUCAGAUUCCUUUCAAAGCCCAAGGUAGCAUUGCUAAGGUGGAGAUCAACUCUUGAACAGAGAUCAGAACCACCUAGGAUCAGGGAAAAACAAAAAGAAGAAAACAAGCAGGGGUGACGUGAAGUAG
rnacentral:lncRNA from 1 species